UACAAUGUACAAUACAAUACAGUGUCUCACUCAAUCUUAAACAUAUUCUUCCCCUUCGUCUCUUGCUAGGGUUCGGUCCUUUUCUACGACAAUGCCCGAUUUACUUCUUCUUUUCCCCUUCUUCGUCGAUUUUGGUGAUGAGAAGCUUUCACGGUAUGCAUCGCUCGCUUGAACUCAUAGUUGAAGUCACUGGAUUUGGAUUAGGGUUUUUGAAAGCCAAUUUUUGGAGUUAUGGGUUCGGAUUUCUUCAUAGAUGGUGAUUUUAAAAGCUUCAAAAUCUGAUGCUAGGGUUUAAUUUUCAGAAGUCUUGGAGAAUUGGGCCAUAACUCAGGGCUAUCUCAGUACUAACAAGAGGUUGUGGAUGGCGUUCAAGUAAUCCAUGGGAGAGGUUUCCGAGUCAUAAAAAAAGAGUGUACGAACCAAAAAGGGUGGUGAUUAGAGUCUCAUUCAGUGUCAUGCUGAAUCUUGGGGCUGCUUUAGUGCUGGACCUUGAGCAUAAUUGCAUCACUACAACAGAGGAAUACCUCCCAUACCAGAGCUAGAAUAUAGUAGUACCCUGCAUGGUGAGAUUAUGAAGUUGUUGUAUCCAAAUGUUGUUGGAAUAGACCAAAUGAAGGCUAGUCGAGCAAAUGUCUCAGAUCAGUACCCGCGAGGUGGCAACAGACCAUGGGGAGAAGAACACGACAUCUAAAUCAGAUUUACAUUCUUAAAGUUAUUGGCAUCAAUACUUGGUGGCUCCUGCAAUUUCAUAGAAAAUACGGAAACACAGGUCUUCAACUCUCAAGUUUAGCUUCGACCAAGGAUGCUCAUAUGUUCUGCUCCUAGCAAGGGUGCUGUUGGUGUCAAUGAGAAGGAAUACAAGUCAAACCCCCACAUUGUUUCUAGUGCUAGUUGUACCAUUAACUACUUUGCUCCUUUGGUAAAGGUUAUUCAUGACAAAUUCGAAAAUAUUUGAGGGUCUUAUAACCACAAUCCACUCCAUAACAGUUCAGAAGUACUACUCGUAUGUUAACAUUUAAUACAACUUCUGUUGUUUUGUACUUAAAUUGUUGCCAUAUUUAUAAUUCGUCACUCAGAGAAAACUGUUAAUGGACCAUCAUUCGAGCAUUAAAGGGGUGCAAGAACUACUUCAUUCAACAUUAUCCCUAGUAAUACUAAAGAUAUUAAGGCUGUCCGAAAGGUAAUACCAAUGGAAUGUUAACUGGGAUAUCUUUCCAAGUUCCACCUGUUGAUAUUCUUGUGGUUGAUCUCACCGUGAGGUUGGAGAAAGAACAAAUGAUAUCAAGGCCAAUAUCAACUGAAUGAAGUAGAGACAGACAAGCACAUGACAUUCUAGCCAAAACCCCUCAAGAGACACGAUCAACUGUCAUCAUUCCCUCUUAGCACUUUGAGUCGAAGGUAAAGGCGAGACCCUAAUUGAAGCCCCAAUUUAUUCAAAGGAUAGAGGUCAAGAAUUGUGAGCAAUAGUGAUCACAACAAUAAUUACAUAUGGUCAGUUGUAUGUUGCAACUCGAAUGUAUUACGAGACCAUGGAAGGAAAGAUGAAGAGAGACUUUAUGAUCUUGGGUCUCAAGGGAAACACUAUUAUGAGCUUGGUCCUACUUUCGAUCCUGAUGAACAUCACUCUCCAGCAGCACAUUAGUUAGCUUUGUCUUUCAAAUUAUAAUAUAUAGUUGAAGAGCAAUUAUGAACAUUGAUGCAUUAGGAUUGUCUUUUUGGAUCCACUUGUUAAUCUUUAGAUUACUAUUUAUAUGAAAUCAAGGUUCUUUUAAUGCUUA